CAAAGGCUGACUGUACGACUCCUGAUCCCUUUCCCCGUAAGGCUCUGGAGCAGCAGACCUGACUCGGCCCUCCGGAGUUUCUGAUCUGCUGAAUCAGCCCCACAGCCGGCAAAAUGACCGCCGACGAAGCCAGACCAGAAGUCCCGUCCCACCUCGUGCCAAACUCGGAAUCCGCCACUCUCCUAUGCUUUCAUUGGAUGAGCAUGCUGCCACUCGGCACAGAACAUUCUGGUCUCGGAGCGGGAUCCACCGCUCGCCAGUCUCCCGGGUGAGAAUCUGUUGGAGAAGCGGGAGUCGGGAUUGCCUCCGCUAGCCCAGGUGAGUUCUUCGGGAGGCCCUGGCUACGGCUGGUAAAGGUGGGGUUGGCCUUAGGCCCGCGAGGGUGCGCGGCCCGUGAGGGAGAAGCAGAGCCCAGACCUGUGGAGCGAAAGGUCAAGACGUAGACCCUGGAGCAGAAAGCCCUGGAUGCAACUUCCUGAGCGAGCGAGCGAGCGAGCGGUCGGGACGAGCCUUCUGGGCAGGGAGCGGGGGCUUAAGCCUGGCAUGGGUCAGCACCGGAUCUCUGUAGUGUUGUCGGCGGUUGUACGGUGGCGCGGGCAUAGGUGUCCUCAGUUCUACCCGGGUCACCCUGCCCUUCAUCUGAGCUGCAUGAACCACCGGGGGCAUGUGUAGUUGUGGGGGAAGUUGUAUUCCUUCUCACCACCACCCCCAG